rnacentral:rRNA from 1 species
UGGCGGACGGGUGAGUAACGCGUGAGGAACCUGCCUUUCAGUGGGGGACAACAGUUGGAAACGACUGCUAAUACCGCAUAAUGUAUUCUGACCGCAUGAUCGGAAUACCAAAGAUUUAUUGCUGAAAGAUGGCCUCGCGUCUGAUUAGAUAGUUGGUGAGGUAACGGCCCACCAAGUCGACGAUCAGUAGCCGGACUGAGAGGUUGAACGGCCACAUUGGGACUGAGAUACGGCCCAGACUCCUACGGGAGGCAGCAGUGGGGAAUAUUGGGCAAUGGGGGAAACCCUGACCCAGCAACGCCGCGUGAAGGAAGAAGGCUUUCGGGUUGUAAACUUCUUUUACCAGGGACGAAGGACGUGACGGUACCUGGAGAAAAAGCCACGGCUAACUACGUGCCAGCAGCCGCGGUAAUACGUAGGUGGCAAGCGUUGUCCGGAUUUACUGGGUGUAAAGGGCGUGUAGGCGGAGAAGCAAGUCAGAAGUGAAAUCCAUGGGCUUAACCCAUGAACUGCUUUUGAAACUGUUUCCCUUGAGUAUCGGAGAGGCAGGCGGA